UCAUCCAACUUGGGGCCCUCCCAGCCUCCUCCCCACCCAGCCACAUGGGAAAAUCCCCAGUUAGCCCUUCCAGUCAUGUGAAUGAGGCCACGAUUCAAAGGCAGUGGGCAAGAAGGAGGCCACAUGGAGCCGCCAGAAAGAACCAGCCCUUUGUGCUAGACUGGGGUCCUUGGGGGAUCAGUGCAUUUUUGGCGUAUUUAGAAAGAUUUCUUUUUUAUAAUGAGCAGCAGAGGAGGAAAGGGGAGGGAGAGACAGAGAGGCAGGAGUUGGGAAAAGAGAAGGAGGAGGAGUGGUGAGGGCUGGAGACAGGGUUGUAAGAGCAAGAGGAGAAAUGCAAAGGGACCCAAAGGGCGAGAGAUGGGGGGAGAGAGGGAAAGGAAGGGGAAUUCUUGGGACGGACGAAGGAUGAUGUCGCCCGGAUAGAGCUUGCUCAUUUGUUUGCAGGGAGAGGAGCAGGUGGAUGAAAUGUAGGUGUUGAGAAAGGAUUUGACUUCCAUUUUACACAGGGGGAAACAAGACUCAAAGGGAUGCCAGGCGAUCUGGCCAAUGCCGGAUGAGCUCACGUACACAGUGGGCGACGUGCGGAGCUCUUCGAAUGCCGGCCUCAUUUAAUCCUCACCAUAACCAGAUGGGCCCGGGUCCAUCAUCAUCCCCAAUUCACAGGUGAAGACCCGGAGAUCUUGAGAAAUUAGGCAACUUUCUAAUACUUAACGUGACAUCCGCCAGCUAAGAAGUCGUGCACUAGUGCAGACCCACACAGCUCAUGUCGCUCAUCACAGUGCCAGGUGGGGCACAGUGCGACCCAGGGGAGACAGAGAAAUCACAAAAGCAGAAACAGGGGAUUUUGCUGAGAUGGGACUGGAGGAGAACUGGCUCCUGCUGGGUUACCAAGUGGCGUUACCAUUAUCACCGGCAGCAGAAGAGGGAUCCGAGGGCCAGUAGUGGUGGAGGUGACCCCACUCACCCAAGCAUUCCAUGAAGAGGCUGAAUUCCUUGAUGACUCUUCACAGGCGAGCAAGGAACAAGUUUUGAGAAACCUGAGUAACACCGUAGGCUCAAGGUCUAGAUACAAAUGUUCCUGAAUACUCAGUCUGGCUGUAGAUACUUGGAUUGGAAACAGACUCAGUAGGUCAUCUUGUCCCCCCUCCUGCCUUUGGCAGAACUGACUGUUUUUUUCCCCCUUUCUUCUUCUUCUCCCUAAAGCCCCCCAGUCCAUAGUUAUAUAUUCUAGUCGUGAGUGCCUCUGGCUGUGCUAUGUGGGACGCCUCCUCAGCAUGACUUGAUGAGUGAUGCCAUGUCCACACCCAGGAUCCAAACCGGCGAAACCCUGGGGAGCCAAAGCGGAGUGUGCAAACUUAACCAAUCGGCCACGGGGCCGGCCCCUUGACUAACUCUUGAUAUAUGGUUGUCUUACUCUUUCUAUAUCUCCAGGGAUCAUGAUACUACACAUCCCUCCACUCAUUUACUCAUCCAUCCAUCCUCCCACCUGUCCAUCCAUCCACCCAUCCACCCACCCAUCCAUCAUUUAUUGAAAGAUGAGUAAGACAGGGAUCCUUUCCUUUAAGAACUAAUGGUAUAUUCUUUUCAGGGGUUCCAAUGCCUAAACAACAGGAGUAAUUUCUAAUGUCUGAUCUACAUGUCUAAUGUCUAUGUCUAAUUUCUAAUGUCUACUCUACUGUCUUCAUGUUGUAAAUAAAGAUUAAGGUAAAACAGGUCAUGCAGUCAUGCAUACUUGAAUGCAUAAUUCAUUCCACAAAACUUUUGGAGCAUGUUCUUGGCUCCAGGUGUAUUAGAAGAUGCCCCUCUAUUUUGGGCAUGCCGCUUACCUUUCAAGCUCACUAGGAAUACUCCAAGGCCAGGAAAUUAACUGGCAUUUAACACGUGG
ensembl:lncRNA